rnacentral:ncRNA from 1 species
ACUUAGAUGCACAUUGAGUGCACUGGCGGAAACGCUGGAUGUAGAACUGCUCAAAUUCGGGGAAACCUGUCAGAUGGCAAUCCCGAGCCAAGCCCCCGCGGGGGAAGGUGUAGAGACUAGACGGGCAGCACCUAACGCGAUUGCCAGGGUGAAGGUAUAGUCCAGACCACAAACG